rnacentral:rRNA from 1 species
CGAACGGGUGAGUAAUGCGUGACCAACCUGCCCCAUGCUCCAGAAUAGCUCUUGGAAACGGGUGGUAAUGCUGGAUGCUCCAACUUGACGCAUGUCUUGUUGGGAAAGUGUUUAGUGGCAUGGGAUGGGGUCGCGUCCUAUCAGCUUGUAGGCGGGGUAAUGGCCCACCUAGGCUUCGACGGGUAGCCGGCCUGAGAGGGCGGACGGCCACAUUGGGACUGAUAUACGGUCCAGACUCCUACGGGAGGCAGCAGCC